ensembl:lincRNA
AUGUGGCGGCCGGAUGGACCGAAGGGCCUGAGCCUAUCCAGCUCCCAGAGGUCCAGGCUCCAACAAGCUCCCAGUACCUCAGCCAGGUCCCCUGAGCUGUCUGAGGAGUCCUGGCCUUCCAGUUCAGAGACCUCAUCCCCACCCAGCACUACUGAGGGACAGAUGGAGACUUCAUCACCCACCCUGAUUGACAGUGGGGAGUCUGUGGUGGCAAAGUACAUAAAUAGGUUCCGCCAAGCUCAGCCCACCAGCCGAGAGGAACGACAGCAUGCAGGCCCAACCCCAGCUGAUUUUUGGUGGCUGCAGACUGAGUCCUCAGACCCCAGCAGUCGACUUGCAGCCGGACCCAGUAAACCAGAAGGAAGGCCCAGUCCAGCAGUUCUUGCUCCAGCCAAGGUUGCCAGCACCUCCCAGGCUGUGGCUCCCCUUCAGAAAAUAAAGCAGAGCCUUAACACAUGGAACUCAUCCAUGCUGGAUCUGGAGACACUGAGCCUACAGAGCAGAGCUGCCACACUGCUCAAACGCAGGUGCCUGUCCCUCCCUGUCACCCCUCCCAAUCGUACAGGUGUGGCCCAGCACACUACCUCCAUUGCCUCACUUCCACCUUUUCUUUGUAGCAAGGCCUCCAUCUCCUCCUCAUCCCUCAGUCCCAGCGAUGCCAGCUGCUCCUCCUUCCCUGUCAGCUCCGAUGGCCUGUCUCCCUUCUCCAUGACCUUCACCCCUGAGUCCAACAAGGACUCCGGGUCCAGAGUAGCUGCUGCCCCAGCGCCAGCUCAGGGCCCCACUUCUACUCCAGCCCCAGCCUCCUCCCCAGCACCCCUUCCGCCAGAGGAUGACAUUUUGUACCAGUGGCGGCAGCGGCGGAAGCUUGAACAGGCUAAGCAGGUCGAGGGUGGUGGAACCUGGGUGUUGUCCCAGACUCCUGCCCUUGCCACUCGGCAGAAGUUGGGUCCCCACCCGGCAGAAUUCUGCCUUCUCCAGCCGAGAGAGAGUCCUCACUCCCCAAAGCCUCGUCGUCGGCUUUGGAGUCGGGAUCUUUUGAGGUUGCGGCCUUGCCCUCUCCCGAGGCUCACCAUGCCCCAUCCGAGGAGGACCUGUUCUCCCAGGCGGCCGAACUUCUAGAGGCUGCGGAAGGUGAGCAGGUUGCUUACACCCUUUGGGAUCUUAGUGGAGGCCAGCCCGCUAAGAACCUAGCCCCUAAAGUUGACUGUUUUCCACCCCAGAUUCUGAUGGCAGCGAGUUUCAGGACGACCCAGUACUGCAGAUGCUUAGAGCACAGAGGGCGGAGCUUCGGCUGCAGAAAAGGUGAUCCUCAGACAUUUGGGUUGGGUGCCUCCUCCUCCCUUCCUGGAGCCCCAUCCACAGCACCACAUCCUACUCCUGAGCACCCACUCUAUCUGCUCCAUGAUUUCUCUCCAGGAAAGUCGACACACAAAUAUCUCUCUUGACUGACCACAUGGAAGACCUGAAAUCUUGGUCCCCUCCACCGAGAUCAUCCCCCAGGUCUCUAAGGAGGCGGCUGCGCAGAGAAGGAACAUCGUUUGAGGCCAGACGACUUUGAAUUGUAUAAAUUUGUGAAUUUCAUUGUAUAUACACUUUAUCCCAAAAGAAAAAUAUAUAUCUAGCUAAAGAUAUAUGUGCUAAAAUAUUUAAGGGAUAGCAUAGUACUCUGAAGUUUGUACUGGCGAAUUUGUACAUGUGAAGAUUAGUUAGGUAAGUAGAUAGAUAUGAGAUAAGGCAAGUAUAGUAAAAUGUUGAUAGUAGGGUCUAACUAUGGACAUAUGGAUGUCCACUGUAAAAAUUUUCAAUUUGAUGUAAAAAAACUUACAAAACUUGAAAUAUAUGACCAGAAUUGUCUUGAUAUCUGUAUUGAUAAACAAAGGAAUGGAAAGCUUUUAAUCCUAGUAUUCAGGAGACUGAUGUUGGUGCAUCACAAGUGCAAGGAUAGCUGAGGCAGUUUCUAUUCAUCAGACAUGAUAAAUGUUUAUUUUUAACCUUUUUGAACAAGUUAUACAUUUAAAUGAAAUAGAAGGGGCCAUACUAAUUAGUAUUGCUGGGUAACAAGUCAUCCCAAACUUAGUGGCAUAAAACAAUCACUUUAUUAUAUUCGUGGAUUCUGAGUCAGGAAUUUUUACAGAACAAAGCUGGGGAGAGUUUGUCUUUUUUUUUUUUUUUUUUUUUUUGGUACCAGGAAUUGAACUCAGGAUCUUUUGUAUUGGAACCCUGUCAAGAGUCUUGAUUGGCAAUAUCGAAAACCUGGCUAAAUUGAUUGGUCUCAAGAAUAUCCUGAGAAAAAUAAAAAACAGAGACAAGUAUCAUAUUCCAACAAUGGCUUGGAAAUCAAUGUCUCUGGAUCUGACCUCCUCUACUUCCAGAACAGCCACUAUUUAUUUGGUCUAUACAGUAAUAGGCGGACCUAGGAAAAGACUCCGACUCUAGAGGGUGUAAUCUUAUGUUUGAAUUAUCUUGACCUAAGUAUAAUCCUGUGGCAAUUUAAGAAGACAUAGAUGAUCUUAUGCUUAGAAGUAUCUUGUCCUUGAGUAUAAUCCUGAGAUGACUUGAAAGAGUUAAUGGGAAAUCCCAGAUCGGUGGUAUCAGCAAUCCCUAUCCUUCCUUUCAUCCCACAGGGAAAUACACAAAACCAGUUACUGUGAAUUUGUGGUCCCCAACACUUGUGCUUGCCAGGCAAGUGUGUGUGCCACUGAGCUAUAUCCCCAGCCCCCUGAGUUUGUCUUUUUAUGGAAUCUGGGAAGCCUUAAAGGUGACCUGACAAUCAUGGAGUAGAAUCCUUUAGAACUUCAUUUACAGUCUGGCACUGGGGCUGAGAAAACUUAGAGGCUGGGCUCAGCAGGAUCAGCUGUAAUGCCAAUACAACCUCUCUCUCUCAGUUGAGUUUCUCCAAAGCAUGGCCACCUCCACAUAGCCACACUUCUCUACAAAACAUCAUGCUUCUUAGCUAGAACCUCAUGGUUCUAGUAGACAAACAGAAACCUGUACCGCCUUUUACUAGCUGCCCUUGGAAGUCUUAUAAUGUCAGUUUCACUAUUUUCUGUGUGUUUAAAGUUAGCAUGGUUCUGCUCAGGUUUGCGGACAUGGGAUAUCUGGCAAUGAGUGGAAUGCCAAAAAAUUUGCAGCCAUGAUUUAAAACUAUCAGGGGAAGCAAGACGUGGUGGUACAUUCCUGUAAUUCCAACACUGAGAGACUAAAGCAGGAGUAUCACAAGUUCUAGCCUAACCUGAGCAAUUUACAAAUUAGGAGACCUUGUCUUGAAGAAAUAAGGGAUGGAUAUGUAUUUAAUUGUGAAGGUUCUGGGUUCAGUACUCAGUACAAACAAACAAAAUUCCCAAAACAAAAAUACAUAACUUCAAGCUGAUUCUGCCCCUGCCCCCACCCCGGCAUUGCCUUUGCCCAAUUCAUAAUUAAUUUUUUCCAUAGAACACUUUAAUUUUAAAAUAUUUAUUUUGCUGGACCUGGUUACACAUUGGGAUUACAGGCACAUGCCAUCACACUUAGCUUCCCUCUAUUGAUUAUUGAUGUGUCCAUGAAUAAAGUGAUGAGAGCUGAGCUGAGGUUGUACCUCAGCGGUACAGCACUUACCUACCUUGAGCGAGAUCCUUGGUCUCCAGCACUUUGAAAAAUGAAGUGAUCAGUUUUUGAGUGAAUGAACGGACGAAAGACAUAUCUGGCCUCUGAGGUGACAGGACUCUGCUGAGGGCAUGACCAGUGACAGCGCCCUGGGCACGUCUCAGUCAGCUGUAGAAACGAUGAGGAUUGGCUUUGUGGGAGGCAAGACUAUAAUAGUGUGCCAGUAUUGCAGGCUAAAUCUUUUUCCCAGGAAAAAGAAGACUGGAGGCCAGUAGAAGAGAGGACAAGGAAAAUGUCUAAUAGGCAGGGUGAGGUCAGG